rnacentral:rRNA from 1 species
AAUGUCCUACGGGGCGCAGCAGUGGGGAAUAUUGCACAAUGGGGGAAACCCUGAUGCAGCGACGCCGCGUGAGAGAAGAAGUAUUUCGGUAUGUAAAGCUCUAUCAGCAGGGAAGAAAAUGACGGUACCUGACUAAGAAGCCCCGGCUAACUACGUGCCAGCAGCCGCGGUAAUACGUAGGGGGCAAGCGUUAUCCGGAUUUACUGGGUGUAAAGGGAGCGUAGACGGUGAUGCAAGUCAGAAGUGAAAGCCCGCGGCUCAACUGCGGGACUGCUUUUGAAACUGUAUGACUG